rnacentral:rRNA from 1 species
UACAGGGGGGGCAAGCGUUGUUCGGAAUUACUGGGCGUAAAGGGCCAGUAGGCGGCCAACUAAGUCCGACGUGAAAUCCCCAGGCUUAACCUGGGAACUGCGUCGGAUACUGGAUGGCUUGAAUUCGGGAGAGGGAUGCAGAAUUCCAGGUGUAGCGGUGAAAUGCGUAGAUAUCUGGAGGAACACCGGUGGCGAAGGCGGCAUCCUGGACCAACACUGACGCUGAGUGAGCGAAAGCCAGGGGAGCAAACGGG